UCACAGGUGAGCCUCACAGGUGCAUCUCACAGGUGUAUCUCACAGGUGUGUCUCACAGGUGUGCCUCACAGGUGUGUCUUUUUGACUGUGUCAAGUCCAACCCAAUCAGGGUCCCCCAGCAUCAUCAGUAGGUAUGUAGGGAAGUGAGAUGGGGAAAAGAUAGAACCAAUAGUGUGCCAUGGAGCAGUUACCUCUGGGCCCCUGCAGGUAAGGGAGCUGCGGUGUUCACACACAACUCCCAUGGUCAUGGCUCAGGGUUCCCCAGAGGCUGUGGACUCCUUGCCGCCCUGAACCUACUCACCUACAAUCACGACGGGCUCCUGGGGCAGGACAAAGCCACAGGUGAGGAACGCUGUGCUGCGGGCGGAAGCUGCUGUCACAGUCGUGUUAGGGUGAGUGGGCUAUGGCUGCAGACUGUGGGCUCCUCCCAGCCAACCCUCACUCCCGCUAGCGCCCCAAAUCCUCAGUCCAGCACCCCUUCCCCGUCCCACCCACUCUCCACACUGAGCCCUCCCAGCCAACCCUCACUCCCGCUAGCACCACAAAUCCUCAGCCCAGCACCCCUUCCCUGUCCCACCUGCUCUCCACACUGAGCCCAGCCACUCCACGCUCCCUUGGGCAGGUGGCAAGGCAGAGCCUGAGGUCAGCUGCCACCCCCAGCCCCACCCCAAGGCCCUCAUGCCCCCAGCAAGGCCUCUCCAGCUCUGCGGUCCCACUCAAGAUGCGCUUAGCUCAUUUCACACGCAGGAAAAAGGGGAAGCCUCUCAGCAGAUCCUUGAAAGGAAGUGACUUUGUGACUAAGUGGAGGCAGGAACAUCAUGGCACAAGGGCACACGUCGCACGCCCAGCUGGGCCCACUGUGGACGGCGCAGAUGCUGCCCUCAGAGCAGCCUCCGAGACAGGCAGCUGCA
rnacentral:lncRNA from 1 species